rnacentral:lncRNA from 1 species
GGCGUAUUGCUUUUGUUGGCCGAGGCAUAGUCGGCGAGUCAGCCGAUCGUUUUGCCCAGGAUUUUGACCGUAGAAGGAGUGUAACUCCCGUUGUCAUGGAUAUAUCGGCCCUUUUAAGCGUCCGAUGCGUUGUCAGCGAUCGGGCCGUUGGUCCCCAGUGGUACGUUAGGUUCACGUCGGGACAUCGGGGGUUCGCACUUCUUGGCGAGUGCCGACCCACAGUCGAAGAGUCGAGAUUCCAGACUCCAAAGUUUUGAAACUGAAUUUGCAUUUCC